rnacentral:rRNA from 1 species
UACGAAGGGGGCUAGCGUUGCUCGGAAUUACUGGGCGUAAAGCGCACGUAGGCGGCUUUCUAAGUCGGGGGUGAAAUCCUGGAGCUCAACUCCAGAACUGCCUUCGAUACUGGAGAGCUCGAGUCCGGGAGAGGUGAGUGGAACUGCGAGUGUAGAGGUGAAAUUCGUAGAUAUUCGCAAGAACACCAGUGGCGAAGGCGGCUCAGCUGGCCCG